UUCCUUUACACAAUCUCCGGUUCUGUUCGAAACGCUGUCUCAGUGCUCGAGUCUCGAACAAACUACAGUCCAUACCCACACUUAAAUUUACUGAAAGAGCUCUUUAAAAUACACACCUUCAUUCCCAAACGUCCGAGUGCACUCCUGGAGCGGGAGCGGUUUUAUUUUUAUCAGUAAUCAAACACUAAUCCGACGCUUUCUUCACCGAUAUUGUUCAUCCUGUCAGGGCUCUAUCGCCAUGAUAGCUAGACGUAGCUAACCCGUCUUUUAGCUUUCGCUAAUUCAUUCAUUUAAAGCCUGAUAUUAUAGUGUAGUCUGUAUCGUGUCUUUUCUGAAGAGUGUGAUUUGAAGCGAAGCUGCUGAUCGGUCAGAUGGUGUGACGCCCGUUAUGACAUCAUCAGCAGGCAGCUCUAAUUGAAAUCCUUCAACGUCCCAUCAGUGUGGUUUUAUGGGAACGUUUCACACUUUAGUCUCAAACAUUGAACAGUAAAAAGUUGAUAAAAACCACAAACUGCAAUGAAAUUCUCAAAAAAUGUGCCAAAUACGGUUCGAAAUAAUUCACUAAUGGUGAUAUUGAAGAUGCCAUCAAUUCUGAAACAACUAUACUUUUAUAACUGUAUAUUUUCAAAAAUAUAAACACAACAACACUGUGCUCUCAGCCAAUCAGAACACACCGUACUGCUCUCAGCCAAUCAGAACACACCGUACUGCUCUCAGCCAGUCAGAACACACCGUACUGCUCUCAGCCAAUCAGAACACACCGUACUGCUCUCAGCCAGUCAGAACACACUGUACUGCUCUCAGCCAAUCAGAACACACCGUACUGCUCUCAGCCAGUCCGAACACACCGUACUGCUCUCAGCCAAUCAGAACACACCGUACUGCUCUCAGCCAAUAAGGACACACUGUACGGCUCUCAUCCUAUCAGAACACACCAUGCUGAGUGAAGGAUGGUGACAGUAUUUAGAGAAUGGUAAAUGAUAAAACAGAACCAGGCGUUCGUGCACUCAGAGGUUUGGGGUUUCUUCCUGUAAGCGUUGGCGUUAAAACUCUUUAUGAAACAACCGUAAAAAAUCCUCAGACACCAUUUUAUAUCCGAUUGUUAAGGAAAAUGGCGGUCGGCAGAAUUUGGCUUUGUAAACAGGAGGAAUUGCUGCGUCACACUCUGCGUCCCAAACCGCUUUCAGCGCACCCUCGUUCACUCUAAAGUGUGCAUCGUCUAUUCCACAGGAGUGUGCACUUCCAGCACGCUGUGGUGUUUUGCUCGCUUACUCGCCCACAUGCUAACUCCCGAGCAAUAACUCUUCGCGCAGUUCCUACAUAUAUACACAGAGAAAUCCACAGUCCACAGAAAUGUCAACAUCUGCAUUUCCCAGGCGUUCCACAACAUUAAACUAUCAAUGUAACUAUAAACGGAUAAAACCUAUGUCACUCUUAGUAAAGUUAAAAAAGUCAUCAUUGGCAAAUUGCUGCGAUGUGACGGAAAGCUAACUUAAGCUCCGCCCCUUUCAGUGACUAAAACCAGGACCGGCACCGACUCCAUCCCUCAUCUCAUCAGUGUCACUCGAUCUCGUACGGACCAAGGGGAAGUCAGCAAGGGCGCAUUAAAAACAGUAAUGGAACACAGCCUCAUUGUGGUUUCUCACACAUGCAAAUUACUCAGCGACGCAAGUUUAAUUUCCACAUGCUACAUGGACAAGAAACUACACACACACACACACACACACACACACACACAAACUGCCCAAGACCUGAAAUAAAGCUCUGUACAUUACAGAUGCAUUGCGUGGAACAACUCAGCGCAGCGUGUCCAGACCCAGGCCUCUGUGGAACUGAACAGAGAAUAUUAAUCCUUAAUUGAACCAUCUGUACUCACUAAUAUCUUUAGUUUAUUCGGACAUGUAUGUUUGUUCUAAACUGAAAAACGUAAGGCCUCUUACGGUGGAAUGAGUUACGAGUUUAGCUUUGGGCCCCGUGACUUUAAACCUGGAUCAUAUCCUCGCUGAUCCACUGCGCCCGGAGUAAACCUACCAACAUGAUCUCUGUGCUUUCCUUAAAAACAUACUGUAUGACUGGUGAAUGGUGAAGUUCUGAAUGAGGGGCGGAGUCAUGCUUCGUACAGACUCCACCGGCUUGAAUCUGCACGAGUGCGGCGUGAGAUCAGAGGCGUGUUUAGCGCAGUGCUAGCACACGGAGCUGGUGAGGAAAUGGUGGAACAUGGCAGGCACGAAUGAGCACACAUUUCAGGAAUGAUUAAAGACGCACGUGUCAUUCAUUCCGUUUUCAUCGUACCAAAAGAAAUAAACACACACCAACACACACCAACACACACGUCGGUAAGCAUGAGCAGUCGUGACCAGAGACGCAUGAAGGCACUAAUCGCAAGCAAACUCGUGGCUGUCUCGAGCCACGGCAACAUCUUGGGCUAGAUGUUGUGGAUGAAAGAUUCUAAUACGAGGUUUUAAAUAAAUAAAAACAGUCAGUAGCACAGAACGACUUCGUCUCAGAGCGUACGAGUGAGAUUUGAGUUUUUGGUUUCGGCACCUUCAAGUGAAAACGAACGUAAGAAGAGAACGCAGAAAUCCAUCGUAGUCUGAUCACCUGUUUAGAUCAGAUGUUUCAUCUCCGCGUGGAGUUUUAAACAAUAAACCUGAAGCUCUGUGAACGCUUCUGCUACAGGAAGUGAUGAUGCGCCGGGCCUACCCAUGUUACCUCCGAACUGCGGCACGCUGGUCAGUGGACGCUGUUUUUUGGUACAAAAUGAAAAGGAGAAAACAAGCAAACAACUUUUUAUUUGAGUUUUUUUUUCUUUCUUGGCGUUCACCAAAAUAGGAAACUCACUCCGUACAGGAUUUCGCAGAUUUUAUUUUGUGAUUGCUGCAAUUGUAAAAACGCUGGACUGUACUGAAGCUUUCUUUUUUUUUAAUUUUCGAUGCAAUUUGCAGAGUUUUUGUGUGUGUGUGCGUGUGUGUGUGUGUGUGUGUGUGUGUGUGUGUGUAAAGCUACAUAUCGCGAUUUCACGGAAUAGUUCUGCGCGCUCUUGCACAGUGAUGUUUGUCGGUAAACGAGACCUUUUGGCUGCACUCGUGAAUCGAAAGCGGCUUUGGCUGAACACACGUCGUGACGACGUCACAUGACGCGGUCAUUUUGAAAAUUCCGAAUAUUGCCGCGUUUGCUCGAUUUCUGCGAUCGCAAAAAUCCUGGAGCGACUGAAAAUGUAUUCUCUUUUUUUUUCCAUAAAAUGACUGAUUCAUUUUGAUUAGUUUGAGUUAUUAAUAAUAAUUGAAAUCAAAUGUUCAUUAUAUUUAGCUAACGCUAACCAGCCCAGUUAUACACAGACGUUAACCGAAGCGCUAACUAACAUCAGCUCAAAAUCACAAAGCUUUUAACAACUAGUAUAGUAAUGAUCAUACAAGAUAGUAAUGAUCUUACAUCACCUCCAUGUGUACAUUUUUUUCACAUUUGAAUACUUGUGAAUAUUUGAUUUCUAGACUUUGCGUCGAGUGGAAACAAUGAAAAGCGGGUUAAUGUUUUCGUUUCUAAAAAUAAUUUUAUGA
ensembl:lncRNA